rnacentral:rRNA from 1 species
AUUGAACGCUGGCGGCAGGCCUAACACAUGCAAGUCGAGCGGGGGUAGCAAUACCCUAGCGGCGAACGGGUGAGGAAUGCUUGGGAAUCUGCCUGGUAGUGGGGGAUAACGUUCCGAAAGGAACGCUAAUACCGCAUACGUCCUACGGGAGAAAGGGGGGGAUCUUCGGACCUCUCGCUAUCAGCUGAGCCCAAGCGGGAGUAGCUAGUUGGUGGGGUAAAGGCCCACCAAGGCGACGAUCCCUAGCUGGUCUGAGAGGUUGAUCAGCCACACUGGAACUGGGACACGGUCAAGACUCCUACGGGGGGCAGCAGUGGGGAAUAUUGGACGAUGGGCGAAAGCCUGAUCCAGCCAUGCCGCGUGUGUGAAGAAGGCCUUCGGGUUGUAAAGCACUUUAAGCGAGGAGGAAGGUUCGUUACUUAAUACGUAACGGAAUUGACGUUACUCGCAGAAUAAGCACCGGCUAACUCUGUGCCAGCCGCCGCGGUAA